CAGUCGCCGCGGGAAUACGAAGGGGGCUAGCGUUGCUCGGAAUGACUGGGCGUAAAGGGCGCGUAGGCGGCGAUCAAAGUCAGGCGUGAAAUUCCUGGGCUCAACCUGGGGGCUGCGCUUGAUACUUGGUUGCUUGAGUGGGGAAGAGGGUCGUGGAAUUCCCAGUGUAGAGGUGAAAUUCGUAGAUAUUGGGAAGAACACCGGUGGCGAAGGCGGCGACCUGGUCCUUGACUGACGCUGAGGCGCGAAAGCGUGGGGAGCAAACAGGAUUAGAUACCCCGGUAGUCCCUGUCUCUUAUAA
rnacentral:rRNA from 1 species